GAAUGUUGCUGGUCUUCGGACGUAGCUCGUUCGUAAUAUAUUAGCAUCUCUAAUUCGAAUUCGGAUUGACUCAGUGUAAUAGACUAUUCGCUGAGGACACUUUUAUUAGUGGCCGAAUAAGAUAAUUGUAGACGCUUCCAACCUCUAUAGUCAACUUUAGAUUAGACCUCAGAUCAGGCAGGAUUACCCGCUGAACUUAA
rnacentral:misc_RNA from 1 species